CCCCACUUCUUCUCUUCCUCUUUCUUUGCUUUCAACUGCUGAUGCGUCUCUUGCUGGUUGAGAUUGAAAUGCCCUUCUUCUUUCUUUCAUUUCUCGUCCAUUCAGCCUUCCCUUUCGUUUCGAUGCGAACCUUUUCAAUUGAGCUGCAUUCACUCCUCUCACAGAUUUAUAUUAGAUAGGGCGAGCAGCUUCGCUCCUUGCCUUGCAUCUUAGCGCGAGAGGGGUCCCACGGAGCGGUUCUCUAGAUUCAAUUCCUUAAAAAAAAAAG
rnacentral:misc_RNA from 1 species